GUGCUUGUGGUGUAGUGGUUAUCACAUCCGCCUAACACGCGGAAGGUCCCAGGUUCGAUCCUGGCAGGCACA
rnacentral:tRNA from 1 species